CACGUAGGGACCAAGCGUUGUCCGGAUUCAUUGGGCGUAAAGAGCUCGUAGGCGGUUCGAUAAGUCGGGUGUGAAACCUCCAGGCUCAACCUGGAGACGCCACCCGGUACUGUCGUGACUAGAGUCCAGUAGGGGAGCGUGGAAUUCCUGGUGUAGCGGUGAAAUGCGCAGAUAUCAGGAGGAACACCAGCGGCGAAGGCGGCGCUCUGGGCUGGAACUGACGCUGAGGAGCGAAAGCGUGGGGAGCGAACAGG
rnacentral:rRNA from 1 species